AUCUAAAUAGCUUAUAAAGAGCAUUACAUUGAAGCUGUAAAGGAGGUAUCGUUAUAUCUUUAGAUG
rnacentral:tRNA from 1 species